UUUUUUUUUUUUUUUAAGUCUUGCUAGGGAUAUGUCAAUUUUAUUAAUCUUUCCAAAAAAACAACUUAAUUUUCUCUAUUAUUUGUCCCCAUUGUUUUCGGCUCUUCCUAAUUUCUGCUCUUACUUGAUCUCUUCUGAUUAAUUUGGAUUUAAUUUGCUUUUUUUUCCUGUAUUUUUCUUUUUUUUUUUUUUUUUUUUUUUUUUUUUUUUGUCUUUUGUCUUUUUUGUUGUUGUUUUGUUGUUGUUGUUGCUAUUUCUUGGGCCGCUCCCGCGGCAUAUGGAGGUUGCAGCCCUAAAAAAAUAAAUAAAUAAAUUCUUAGAACACUGAUCUUAAAAUGGCAUUUCUUUUCUAACAGAGCAUUUAAAACUAUUAAUUUCCUCCUAAAUACUUCUCUAGUUACAUCCCACAUGUUUUGAUAUGUUGUAUUUUCUUCAUCAUUCAGCUUGAAACAUUUAAAAUUUUAUCUUGUGAAUACUUUUUUUGAUCCAUGAGUUACUUAGAAGUGUAUCGCCACUUCUAAAUUUUUGGGAAAUUUUCCCAUAUAUUUUUGUGACUACUUUGUGACUUCAUCCUAUAUGAUCAGAGAACUAACUCUGUAUAGUUUAAAUCCUUUGAAAUGUAUUGGAACUCAUUUAAUGGCCCAGCAUAUACUCUAUCUUGACAUAUGUUCCAUACACAUUUUCAAAAAAUGUGUAUCUUGACAGUUGCUGAGCUUAGCGUUCUAGAAAUGUCAGACAUUGUACUGUUCAAAUCUUCUAGAUGCUGAGUGAAUUUUUGCAUAAUUUUCUAUACAGUACUGAGAGAUGUUAAAAUUUCUAGCCAUGAUUGGGGAUUUUUCUAUUAAGCCCUUCAUUCUGUCAGUUUUUGCUUUCUGUGUUUUUAAGCUCUGCUAUUAGGUAUAUAUAUAUUUAGAACAAUUAUACAUUCUCCAUAAACUGACUCUGCUAUGAAAUGUCCUCUGAUUAUCUCUGAUAAUAUUCUUUGCUCUGAAAUUUACUCUGAUAUCUACUUCUCCUAUAAUGAGGUAUUUGCAUGGCAUAUCUUUCUUCAUAAUUUCACUUCUAGCCAAUCUGUAUCUUUAUGGUUAAAGUGUAACUCUAUUUAUAAAUAAUAUAUCUUUGGAUUCUACUUUUUUUUUUUUUUUUUUUUUUUUUGUCUUUUUAGGGCCACACCUGUAGCAUAUGGAGGUUCCCAGGCUAGGCGUCUAAUUGGAGCUGUAGCCACCAGCCUACACCACAGCCACAGCAGCCACAGCAACACCGGAUCCUUAACCCCUUGAGCGAGGCCAGAGAUUGAACCUGCAACCUGUGGUUCCCAGUGAGAUUCGUUUCUGCUGUGCCAUGACGGGAACUCUGGGUUCUCCUUUUAUUCAGCUUGACAAUUUACCUUUUCAUUACAGCAUUUAGUCAAGUUACAUUGAAUGUAAUUAUUGAUACCAUUGGAUUUGACUCUUGAUAUUUUUUAUUUGAUGUCCUUUUUCCUACUGUUCCUUCUUUUUGGCCUUUAAGUGGGCUAAAUAAAUAUCUCUUAGCUACACCUAAUUUUUUAGAGGAACUAUUAUAUACAGUGUUAAUUUAUUACAAUCUACUAUGAAUUAAUAUUAUACUACCUCAUAUAUACAGACACGCCUUAGAGAUACUGCAGGUUUGGUUCCAGGCCACCACAAGAAACGGAGUCGUACGAAUGUUUUCGUUUUCAAGGACAUAUAAGAGUUAUGCUUACACUAUACUGUAGUCUCUUCAGUGUGCAAUAGCAUUACGUCUAAAAACACAAUAUACAUAUGUAGUUUUAAAAUAUAAAACAAAAAUCGUUACAACAGUAACGUCAAAGAUUACUGCUCACUGAUCACCAUCACAAAUAAUAAUGUUUGAAAUAUUGUGAGAAUUACCAAAAUGUGACACAGAAACACAAGAAUAUGCUAUUGGAAAAAUGGCACCAUAGACUCGCUUGACACAAGGUUGUCACAAAUCUGCGAUUUGUAGAAAAUGCAGUAUCUCUGAAGAGCUGUAAAGCAAAGUGCCGUAAAAUGGGGUACACGCCGUUGUGCGGUUUUCUUAUGUGAUCUGCUUCCCUUCCCUUUCCCCUGUUAUUUAUGCUAUUGUCAUGUGCUUGAUUUCUGUCUAUGUUAUAAACUCCAUCAACAUAUUUUUUAGUCAGCUGUCUUUUCAAUAAAUUAACAAGUAUUUCAUUUCUUUAUGUGUUUAUUUAACAUUUCCGGGCUCUUCAUUCCUCCAUGUAGACUCACCCUUCUGACUGUGACUACUGCGUGUCAGCCCGCUGGACUUCCGGUUCCAUUUCCUGUACUGCAGUCUAUUGGGAUGAAUUCUUUUAGCAGUUGUUUAUACGGAAAUGUCUUUACUUCUACUUCGUUUUUGAGCACGUUGCUAUAUAUAGAACUGUAGGCUGACAGAAUUUUUCCCUUCCAUUUAGCAGGCCUUUAUUUUUAUUUUAUGAUUAUUAUGAUUAUUAUUUUUGGCCUUUUUAUCUUUUUAGGGCUGCACCCACAGCAUGUGGAGGUUCCCAUGCUAGGGGUUGAAUUGAAGGUGUAGGUGCCGGCCUGCACCACAGCCCCAGGAAGGCAGGAUCCGAGCUGCGUCUGCGACCUACACCACAGAUCACGGCAAUGCUGGAUCCUUAACCCAGAGUGAGGCCAGGGAUCGAACCCACAUCCUCAUGGAUGCUCGUCAGGUUCGUUAACCACUGAGCCAUGAUGGGGACUCCUCGUUUAGCCCUUUUAAUGCUAUCCCAUCGUCUUCUGGUUUGUAUUAAUUUUGAUGAGAAGUUAGUUCUUAAUUCUUAUCACCAUGUAGGUGACAGUUCUCUCCUUUCAGAUUUUAUCCUUGUUGUUCUCAGCAAUUAGACUAUGAUAUGACCAGAUAGUUAGUUUUCUGUGUUUAACCUCCUUGGAAUCUACUGAGGCUUUUGAGGUUUUCAGGAUAUUUUUCAUAAAAUUUAGAAAAAAUUCAGUUACUAUUUCUUCCAACAUUUUUUCCUACCCCAUUCUUUCCUUUCUCUUUUUCAGGGACCAUUAUUACAAGUACAUUGGCUUUGUGGAUAUGGUGCUAGGAUCACUGAGAUUUUUUAAAUUUUUGGAAAAAUUUCGAUAAUUUCUUUUGACCUAUCUUCAAGUUUAUUGAACUUUUCUUCUGUAAUGUCACAUCUGUUAGGCUCAUCCAGUGAAUUUCUUAUUUCAUAUAUUUUUUUCUUCAUUCUGAGGAUUUACAUUUGUUUCAUUUUUAUGAUUUCCAUGUCUUUGUUUUGAUGCCUCUUCUAUCCAUACAGAAUGUCCACAUUUUCUUUUAAAUCCUUGAAUAAGUUGAAGUCCUGGCCCAUUAGUGCUAAUAUCUAUGUCAACUGUGGACUGACUUUUUUUUUUUUUUCCUUUUGGCUGUGCCUAGCAUGCAUAAGUCCAGGGCCAGGGAUUGAACCUGUCCCACAGCAGCGACCCGAGCCACAGCAGUGACAACACCAGAUCCUUAACCUGCUGCACCAGCAGGAAACCCCUGGGUGUAUUUCUAUUGACUGGUUUUUUUCCUUCUGAAUAUGCAUGAAUAUGUGACGCAUUGUCCUGCUUCUUUGUGUAUCUAGUUAUUUGUUACUCUGUGCUUGACUCUGGGAAGGCUCUUCCUUUAAUUAAGUGCUGAAUUUGUUCUGGCUGGUCCUUAGUUUAGUUGCAGCUUAGCUUGAUCAUGUCCAGGUUUAGUUUUACACUUUUUAGGGCAGGUCUGC
rnacentral:lncRNA from 1 species